rnacentral:rRNA from 1 species
GCUCAAAGAGGGUUCGCGUCCUAUCAGGUAGUGUGGGGUAAUGGCCUACAAGCAAUGACGGGUAGCUGGUUUUAGAGGAUGAUCAGCACAGUGGGACUGAGACACGGCCCGCACCCUACGGGGGCAGCAGUGGGGAAUCGUGGGCAAUGGGCGCAAGCCUGACCCCGCAAUGCCGCGUGAGGGAAGAAGCCCUUCGGGGUGUAAACCUCUGUCAGAUGGGAAGAUGGGACUAGGGGUUAAUAACUCCUGGUCUUGACGGUACCAUCAGAGGAAGGGACGGCUAACUACGUGCCAGCAGCCGCGGUAAUACGUAGGUCCCGAGCGUUGCGCGAUGUUACUGGGCGUAAAGCGUCCGUAGCUGGUUUCGUAAGCGGAUUGUCAAAGUCCGAAGCUCAACUUCGGCAAGGCAUUCCGAACUGCGUUACUUGAGUCCUGUUCAGGUAGGCGGAAUUCCCGGUGUAGCGGUGAAAUGCGUAGAUAUCGGGAGGAACACCAGUGGCGAAGGCGGCCUACUGGGACGGUACUGACGGUCAUGGACGAAAGCUGGGGGAGCAAACCGGAUUAGAUACCCGGGUAGUCCCAGCCGUAAACGAUGGAUGUUAGGUGUAGUGAUAACUUCGCUGCACCCCAGCUAACGCGUUAAACAUCCCGCCUGGGGAGUACGGGCGCAAGCCUGAAACUCAAAGGAAUUGGCGGGGGCCCGCACAACCGGUGGAGCGUCUGGUUUAAUUCGAUGCUAACCGAAAAACCUUACCAGGGUUUGAAAUGGUAGGAAAGGCUGUUGAAAGAUAGCCGUGUUUCCCUUUUGGGAGAAAUCCUACCACAGGUGGUGCAUGGCCGUCGUCAGCUCGUGUUGUGAGAUGUUGGGUUAAGUCCCGCAACGAGCGCAACCCUUGUCCUUAUUUGCUUCCUCGUAUGAGGUGCUCUAUAAGGAGACUGCCGGCGACAAGCCGGAGGAAGGAGGGGACGACGUCAGGUCAGUAUGCCCUUUAUGCUCUGGGCUACACAGGCGCUACAGUGGCAAGGACAAUGAGUAGCAAGAGUGCAAGCUCAAGCUAAUCUCACAAACCUUGUCGUGGUGCGAAUUGAAGGUUGAAACUCACCUUCAUGAAGCUGGAAUCGGUAGUAAUGGCGUAUCAGCUAUGUCGCCGUGAAUACGUUCCCGGGCCUU